rnacentral:rRNA from 1 species
CACGUAGGGUGCGAGCGUUGUCCGGAAUUAUUGGGCGUAAAGAGCUCGUAGGCGGUGCGUCGCGUCGGCCGUGAAAACCUGCAGCUUAACUGUGGGCUUGCGGUCGAUACGGACAUCACUGGAGUUCGGCAGGGGAGACUGGAAUUCCUGGUGUAGCGGUGAAAUGCGCAGAUAUCAGGAGGAACACCGGUGGCGAAGGCGGGUCUCUGGGCCGAUACUGACGCUGAGGAGCGAAAGCGUGGGGAGCGAACAGG